rnacentral:rRNA from 1 species
AUUGAACGCUGGCGGCAGGCCUAACACAUGCAAGUCGGACGGUAGCACAGAGGAGCUUGCUCCUUGGGUGACGAGUGGCGGACGGGUGAGUAAUGUCUGGGGAUCUGCCCGAUAGAGGGGGAUAACCACUGGAAACGGUGGCUAAUACCGCAUAACGUCGCAAGACCAAAGAGGGGGACCUUCGGGCCUCUCACUAUCGGAUGAACCCAGAUGGGAUUAGCUAGUAGGCGGGGUAAUGGCCCACCUAGGCGACGAUCCCUAGCUGGUCUGAGAGGAUGACCAGCCACACUGGAACUGAGACACGGUCCAGACUCCUACGGGAGGCAGCAGUGGGGAAUAUUGCACAAUGGGCGCAAGCCUGAUGCAGCCAUGCCGCGUGUAUGAAGAAGGCCUUCGGGUUGUAAAGUACUUUCAGCGGGGAGGAAGGCGAUAAGGUUAAUAACCUUGUCGAUUGACGUUACCCGCAGAAGAAGCACCGGCUAACUCCGUGCCAGCCGCCGCAGUAA